ACGAACGCUGGCGGCGUGCUUCACACCUGCAAGUCGAACGGAAAGGCCUGCUUUCCCUUGUGGAUUGCGGGUACUCGAGUGGCGAACGGGUGAGUAACACGUGAGUGAUCUGCCCCCAACUUGGGUAUAAGCCUGGGAAACUGGGUCUAAUUCCCGAUAGGACUGCAGGGUGGUGCCUGUGGUGGAAAACGAUUUUCUAGUGGUUGGGGAUGAGCUCGCGGCCUAUCAGCUUGUUGGUGGGGUAAUGGCCUACCAAGGCGGCGACGGGUAGCCGGCCUGAGAGGGUGGACGGCCACAUUGGGACUGAGAUACGGCCCAGACUCCUACGGGAGGCAGCAGUGGGGAAUAUUGCACAAUGGGCGGAAGCCUGAUGCAGCGACGCCGCGUGGGGGAUGACGGCCUUCGGGUUGUAAACUCCUUUCGACCGCGAGGAAGCCACCUGGUUGGAAGGGUGGUGACGGUAGUGGUAGAAGAAGCACCGGCUAACUACGUG
rnacentral:rRNA from 1 species